rnacentral:lncRNA from 1 species
AUUCUUUUGCUCCGCUCCGUCCUGCCUGCUUCGGAGCUCUGCCUUCCAGCCGGGCUCGGCUGUGCUUUGUCCGGAGAUGGCGAGCGAAGGGAAGCCCCGGCCAGGCCAGGCCUGGCGGCUCCCGCUGGAGAUUGGGCGCGCUCCGUUCCCGGCGCCGCGGCAGCAGCUUUGCAACUCGCAACCUGGCUAAUUUCCUGCGUCCUCUGGCACCAGGAAAGAGGACAAUUCUUCUCUCGGGCUGCCCAAGCGACAGCUGUCAGAGGGGCAGGAGCUUCUGGGAGCCACCGUCUGAAGGCUACGUGUGCCGCCUGGCCAUUCAAACUGUCAAUUUUAGGUCCAGAAGUGUCCAAACCACAAGUUCUCAAAACUCUCUGAAAAAUGGCUCCCUCCGAGUUAAGCAAUUCUGAAAGGCAUUCUCUGGGAAAAGUCUGUGGAGGAGAGAGGGAUCUUCUUGCAAAUAAUGUGGUCUCAGGCAAGGACACAGCAUCUUGGCUGUCUGCUAAAAAAAAAAAAUGCCUAGACUCUCAGUGGAAAUUGAGUG